CGGUGGAGAUAUUGGGGUGAAGGUACAGAUGGUUGUUAGAGAACAACUUGCACUGAGCAUGACCAACACGAGAACCACAGAUGUCUACUCACUCAUUAGUGAUCUUCUCAAUACUACAGUAGUGUGAGUAGUCCUUUGACCUACGGUGCCAUUGGCUAUUCGCAGCGAGGCUACUGGAUUUGACUACAUAUUUUUUUGAUCCCUAGCCAUUC
rnacentral:lncRNA from 1 species